rnacentral:rRNA from 1 species
GUAGGUGGCAAGCGUUGUCCGGAAUUAUUGGGCGUAAAGCGCGCGCAGGUGGUUCUUUAAGUCUGAUGUGAAAGCCCCCGGGCUCAACCGGGGAGGGUCAUUGGAAACUGGGGAACUUGAGUGCAGGAGAGGAAAGUGGAAUUCCACGUGUAGCGGUGAAAUGCGUAGAUAUGUGGAGGAACACCAGUGGCGAAGGCGACUUUCUGGCCUGUAACUGACACUGAGGCGCGAAAGCGUCGGGGAGCAAACAGGAUUAGAUACCCUGGUAGUCCACGCCGUAAACGAUGAGUGCUAAGUGUUGGGGGGUUUCCGCCCCUCAGUGCUGCAGCUAACGCAUUAAGCACUCCGCCUGGGGAGUACGGCCGCAAAGACUG